rnacentral:misc_RNA from 1 species
AACUUUCGGCAAUGGAUCUCUUGGCUCUCGCAUCGAUGAAGAACACAGCGAAAUGUGAUGAGUAAUGUGAAUUGCAGAAUUCAGUGAAUCAUCGAAUCUUUGAACGCACCUUGCACCCUUUGGUAUUCCAAAGGGUAUGCUCGUUUGAGUGUCAUUGUACGCUCAUACUCUCUGAUCUUAGGAUUGGGAGUGGUGGACUUGGGUGUUGCUGCUUCACUGUGGCUCACCUGAAAUGCAUUAGUGCAACUGUUGACUAACCAUAGUAUGGCAUGAUAAGCAUCUUUGCCAGCACCUCUCCGGAGGGUGGUCAGUCAAGAGCUCUGUGCUUCUAACUGUCUUUGGACAAUGUUGACAACUUGACCUCAAAUCGAGUAGGACUACCCGCUGAACUUAAGCAUAUCAAUAAGCGGAGGCU